GGUGCGAUGGCCGAGUGGUCUAAGGCGCUGCGUUUAGGCCGCAGUGGGCAACCGCGUGGGUUCGAAUCCCACUCGCAUCA